rnacentral:tRNA from 1 species
UAUUAUUACUUUGGCAGAUUAGUGUAAUGAAUUUAGAAUUCAAGAAUGUA